rnacentral:rRNA from 1 species
AUGAACGCUGGCGGUAUGCUUAACACAUGCAAGUCGAACGGUGUUUUCGGGACACAGUGGCGGACGGGUGAGUAACGCGUGAGGAAUCUAGCUUCAGGUCGGGGACAACCACUGGAAACGGUGGCUAAUACCGGUAUGUGCCGGAAGGUGAAAGGCUUUGCUGCCUGAAGAUGAGCUCGCGUCUGAUUAGCUAGUAGGUGGGGUAAGAGCCUACCUAGGCGACGAUCAGUAGCUGGUCUGAGAGGAUGAUCAGCCACACUGGGACUGAGACACGGCCCAGACUCCUACGGGAGGCAGCAGUGGGGAAUUUCCGCAAUGGGCGAAAGCCUGACGGAGCAAUACCGCGUGAGGGAGGAAGGCUCUUGGGUUGUAAACCUCUUUUCUCAAGGAAGAACACAAUGACGGUACUUGAGGAAUCAGCAUCGGCUAACUCCGUGCCAGCAGCCGCGGUAAUACGGAGGAUGCAAGCGUUAUCCGGAAUGAUUGGGCGUAAAGCGUCCGCAGGUGGUGAUGUAAGUCUGCUGUCAAAGCGUCUAGCUCAACUAGAUACAGGCAGUGGAAACUACAUGACUAGAGUGCGUUCGGGGCAGAGGGAAUUCCUGGUGUAGCGGUGAAAUGCGUAGAUAUCAGGAAGAACACCGGUGGCGAAAACGCUCUGCUAGGCCGCAACUGACACUGAGGGACGAAAGCUAGGGGAGCGAAUGGGAUUAGAUACCCCAGCAGUCCACGCUGUAAACGAUGCACGUUCGGUGCUAGGGAGUAUCGACCCUCCUUAGUACCAAAGCUAACGCGUUAAACGUGCCGCCUGGGGAGUACGGCCGCAAGGCUAAAACUCAAAGGAAUUGACGGGGACCUGCACAAGCGGUGGAGCAUGUGGUUUAAUUCGACGGUAAGCGAGGAACCUUACCAAGUUUUGACAUGUACCUGCAUACAUUGGAAACAGUGUAGCCUUCGAGGGUAGGUACACAGGUGCUGCACGGUUGUCGUCAGCUCGUGCCGUGAGGUGUUCACUUAAGUGUGAAAACGAGCGCAACCCCUACGGUGAGUUACAAGCGUCUCACAGAACUGCCGCCGUUUAAGGCGGAGGAAGGUGGGGAUGACGUCAAAUCAGCGUGGCUCUUACAACUUGGGCGACACACGUGCUACAAUGGGAAGGAACAAAGGGACGCCAAGGAGCAAUCCGGAGCAAAUCCUAUCAAUACUUCCCCCAGUUCGGAUCGAGGGCUGCAACUCGCCCUCGUGAAGCCGGAAUCGCUAGUACCCGUAGAUCAGCCUCGCUAGGGUGAAUACGUUCUCAGGUUUUGUACACACCGCCCGUCAAGCCAUGGAAGCGGGAAGCGGCUGAAGUGCAUCGUAAGAUGCCCUAAGCCGAAGCUCGUAACUGGGGCUAAGUCGUAACAAGGUAA